rnacentral:tRNA from 1 species
GUUGAAGUGGCAGAGUAAGGCAAUUGCAUAAAACUUAAGCUUUUAUACUCAGAGGUUCAAAUCCUCUCUUCAACAG